rfam:Asian citrus Psyllid, Diaphorina citri - Florida Strain, whole genome shotgun sequence.
GCUCCCAUGGCGUAGUGGUCACUGCACUCGCCUUGCACGCGGGAGACCCGGGUUCGAUUCCCGGCGGGG